AUUCUACUCCCUCCGUUGCACAAUACAUGCCUUCUAUUUGUCAAAAUAUAUAUAUGUAUCUAGAAAUGUUUUAGUAUAUAGGUACAUCCAUUUUUGGACAAAUGGAAGUCAAGUAUUUUGGAACGGAGGGAGUACACA
rnacentral:pre_miRNA from 1 species